GAGAGCCGGAUGCGGUAAUUCUGCAAGUCCGGUUCUGAGGAGGGGCCUAAUUGAGCAAUUGGUUAGGUCUACUCACAUAGUUUUAAUUUGAUCUCUGACAUUUAUAAUUUUGAACUACCUUAACCAGUUUCGAAAGAGGUCUAAUGUAGGUAAUCAUAUUUAUUAUAGAUAAUAUUAAGUAUAUCACCUAUUCCAU
rnacentral:ncRNA from 1 species